GAACCAUCGAAGAUAAAAGGGUGAAACAUUUAAUGAAUUGGUGUGGAUAAAAUCUGCAGCAGAUGUGAACUCGCACAGUGAUGCUGACGUGCGUGGCCAAUUGGAUCAAGCGGAUGCAGUGAUUCCGACUUGAGGGGGAGAGCUACAGUCACUAAUGCGGAUGGACUGAAGCCAUAGCGAAAGAGCCGAUUGGUGGAGCUCUUUUCCGGACAAGAUGUGUCCUUGUGCUGAGUGAGGGGAACAUACAUGCUGCACUAUCGAACACUACUGCACGCCCACCU